CCUACGGGUGGCUGCCGUGGGGAAUAUUGGACAAUGGGGGGAACCCUGAUCCAGCCAUGCCGCGUGUGUGAAGAAGGCCCUCGGGUUGUAAAGCACUUUCAGUGAGGAAGAACGCCUGGUGGUUAAUACCCAUCAGGAAAGACAUCACUCACAGAAGAAGCACCGGCUAACUCCGUGCCAGCAGCCGCGGUAAUACGGAGGGUGCGAGCGUUAAUCGGAAUUACUGGGCGUAAAGCGCGCGUAGGUGGCUUGAUAAGCCGGUUGUGAAAGCCCCGGGCUCAACCUGGGAACGGCAUCCGGAACUGUCAAGCUAGAGUGCAGGAGAGGAAGGUAGAAUUCCCGGUGUAGCGGUGAAAUGCGUAGAGAUCGGGAGGAAUACCAGUGGCGAAGGCGGCCUUCUGGACUGACACUGACACUGAGGUGCGAAAGCGUGGGUAGCAAACAGGAUUAGAUACCCGAGUAGUC
rnacentral:rRNA from 1 species